rnacentral:tRNA from 1 species
GAAGGUAUAGCUCAGUGAUAGAGCAUAUGCCUAGCGUGCACAAGGUCCUGGGUUCAAACUCCAGUACCUCCU